UACGGAGGGAGCUAGCGUUGUUCGGAAUUACUGGGCGUAAAGCGCACGUAGGCGGCUUUGUAAGUUAGAGGUGAAAGCCCGGGGCUCAACCCCGGAAUUGCCUUUAAGACUGCGUCGCUUGAAUCCGGGAGAGGUGAGUGGAAUUCCCGGUGUAGCGGUGAAAUGCGCAGAUAUCGGGAAGAACACCCGUGGCGAAGGCGGCUCUCUGGAACGCAACUGACGCUGAGACGCGAAAGCGUGGGGAGCAAACAGG
rnacentral:rRNA from 1 species